AGUAACGCGUGAGUAACCUGCCUUCAAGAGGGGGAUAACAUUCUGAAAAGAAUGCUAAUACCGCAUGACAUAUCGGAACCACAUGGUUUUGAUAUCAAAGAUUUUAUCGCUUGAAGAUGGACUCGCGUCCGAUUAGUUAGUUGGUGAGGUAACGGCUCACCAAGACCGCGAUCGGUAGCCGGACUGAGAGGUUGAACGGCCACAUUGGGACUGAGACACGGCCCAG
rnacentral:rRNA from 1 species